rnacentral:rRNA from 1 species
AGAGUUUGAUCCUGGCUCAGGACGAACGCUGGCGGCGUGCCUAAUACAUGCAAGUCGAACGCUUCUUUUUCCACCGGAGCUUGCUCCACCGGAAAAAGAGGAGUGGCGAACGGGUGAGUAACACGUGGGUAACCUGCCCAUCAGAAGGGGAUAACACUUGGAAACAGGUGCUAAUACCGUAUAACAAUCGAAACCGCAUGGUUUUGAUUUGAAAGGCGCUUUCGGGUGUCGCUGAUGGAUGGACCCGCGGUGCAUUAGCUAGUUGGUGAGGUAACGGCUCACCAAGGCCACGAUGCAUAGCCGACCUGAGAGGGUGAUCGGCCACAUUGGGACUGAGACACGGCCCAAACUCCUACGGGAGGCAGCAGUAGGGAAUCUUCGGCAAUGGACGAAAGUCUGACCGAGCAACGCCGCGUGAGUGAAGAAGGUUUUCGGAUCGUAAAACUCUGUUGUUAGAGAAGAACAAGGAUGAGAGUAACUGUUCAUCCCUUGACGGUAUCUAACCAGAAAGCCACGGCUAACUACGUGCCAGCAGCCGCGGUAAUACGUAGGUGGCAAGCGUUGUCCGGAUUUAUUGGGCGUAAAGCGAGCGCAGGCGGUUUCUUAAGUCUGAUGUGAAAGCCCCCGGCUCAACCGGGGAGGGUCAUUGGAAACUGGGAGACUUGAGUGCAGAAGAGGAGAGUGGAAUUCCAUGUGUAGCGGUGAAAUGCGUAGAUAUAUGGAGGAACACCAGUGGCGAAGGCGGCUCUCUGGUCUGUAACUGACGCUGAGGCUCGAAAGCGUGGGGAGCAAACAGGAUUAGAUACCCUGGUAGUCCACGCCGUAAACGAUGAGUGCUAAGUGUUGGAGGGUUUCCGCCCUUCAGUGCUGCAGCUAACGCAUUAAGCACUCCGCCUGGGGAGUACGACCGCAAGGUUGAAACUCAAAGGAAUUGACGGGGGCCCGCACAAGCGGUGGAGCAUGUGGUUUAAUUCGAAGCAACGCGAAGAACCUUACCAGGUCUUGACAUCCUUUGACCACUCUAGAGAUAGAGCUUCCCCUUCGGGGGCAAAGUGACAGGUGGUGCAUGGUUGUCGUCAGCUCGUGUCGUGAGAUGUUGGGUUAAGUCCCGCAACGAGCGCAACCCUUAUUGUUAGUUGCCAUCAUUCAGUUGGGCACUCUAGCAAGACUGCCGGUGACAAACCGGAGGAAGGUGGGGAUGACGUCAAAUCAUCAUGCCCCUUAUGACCUGGGCUACACACGUGCUACAAUGGGAAGUACAACGAGUCGCGAAGUCGCGAGGCUAAGCUAAUCUCUUAAAGCUUCUCUCAGUUCGGAUUGCAGGCUGCAACUCGCCUGCAUGAAGCCGGAAUCGCUAGUAAUCGCGGAUCAGCACGCCGCGGUGAAUACGUUCCCGGGCCUUGUACACACCGCCCGUCACACCACGAGAGUUUGUAACACCCGAAGUCGGUGAGGUAACCUUUUGGAGCCAGCCGCCUAAGGUGGGAUAGAUGAUUGGGGUGAAGUCGUAACAAGGUAGCCGUAUCGGAAGGUGCGGCUGGAUCACCUC